rnacentral:tRNA from 1 species
GACUUUGGUAGCUCAGCUGGUAGAGCACAUCACUUUUAAUGAUGGGGUCCUGGGUUCGAAUCCCAGCCAGGUCA